AGGGAAUCUUCCACAAGGGCGGAAAGUCGAUUGGAGCAACGCCGCGUGAGUGAUAAAGGUUUUGGGAUCGUAAAACCUGGUUGUAAGGAAAGAACCAUUACUUCAGGCAAUGGAGUUACUUUGACGGUACCUUAUUAAAAACCACCGGUUAAUUCCGUGCCAGCAGCCGCGGUAAUACGUAGGUGGCAAGCGUUGUCCGGAAUUAUUGGGCGUAAAGCGCGCGCAGGUGGUUUCUUAAGUCUGAUGUGAAGGCCCACGGCUUAACCGUGGAGGGUCAUUGGAAACUGGGAGACUUGAGUGCAGAAGAGGAAAGUGGAAUUCCAAGUGUAGCGGUGAAAUGCGUAGAGAUUUGGAGGAACACCAGUGGCGAAGGCGACUUUCUGGUCUGCAACUGACGCUGAGGCGCGAAAGCAUGGGGAGCAAACA
rnacentral:rRNA from 1 species